rnacentral:rRNA from 1 species
GACGAACGCUGGCGGCGUGCUUAACACAUGCAAGUCGAACGGAAAGGCCCUGCUUUUGUGGGGUGCUCGAGUGGCGAACGGGUGAGUAACACGUGAGUAACCUGCCCUUGACUUUGGGAUAACUUCAGGAAACUGGGGCUAAUACCGGAUAGGAGCUCCUGCUGCAUGGUGGGGGUUGGAAAGUUUCGGCGGUUGGGGAUGGACUCGCGGCUUAUCAGCUUGUUGGUGGGGUAGUGGCUUACCAAGGCUUUGACGGGUAGCCGGCCUGAGAGGGUGACCGGCCACAUUGGGACUGAGAUACGGCCCAGACUCCUACGGGAGGCAGCAGUGGGGAAUAUUACACAAUGGGCGGAAGCCUGAUGCAGCAACGCCGCGAGCGAGAUGACGGCCUUCGGGUUGUAAACCGCUUUCGCCUGUGACGAAGCGUGAGUGACGGUAAUGGGUAAAGAAGCACCGGCUAACUACGUG